CAAAUAUUCAGCAAUGUGGGUGCCCGACCCCCGGAUGGGAGGGCAUAAAGGCGAAGCCGGUUCAAGUCCGGCGCUGUCCCGCAACUGUAAUCCGCCUCUGCGGAGAGCCAGGACGACCGCCCAGAUUGCGACCACAAU
rnacentral:ncRNA from 2 species